CUCAGUUUGGAUUCAUCUUGACUUUAAUCACUACCCUUCCAAACUUUCAUCUGCUCUUUCUCUCUCUCUGGCAAUGGGCUGCUCGGCUGUUGGCAGCAACAACACUUGCUAACUGGGCCAAACCCGAAUGAAGCGAUCAGACGUCCGCAGAUCAGAGCUGUAUAUCUGCCUGCAGCUCCUAAAGCUCUUAACACAAUGAGAUUCAGCAGAAGAGAGAUGGAUUGAAAGUGGAAGCUGUUUCACUGCAAAUCCAAAGACGCCAGUAACAACAUCUAUCUCCACCAUCAGCCAAGCAACAUGGUCAUUUGUCACUGAAUGAUAGCACAGAAAAAGAAAUGUCAACGUGAAAUGUCAGCUUCAUCUGAAUGACAAGGAUAGGAAGAUCAGCAGAAGAAUGAGUCACGACGGCAACAAAGAAAACACACUUCUUCACAAAUCCACAACUGCCGUCUAAUGCGGUUAAAGCACUGUUUUCCUCAAACGCAAGUGACAAAUCACCAUGUUUUGUAAGAUAUAAGAUUUACAACAAAGUACAUACAGCACACAAGCAUUUCAUUUCUUCU